UACUGUUAUUCUAAACCAAAUCACACGGCGUCUUCACGGGCGAUUGGAUCUGAGCUUGAGGCGGAGAUGGCGGAGGACGGAGGCAGAGGCCGCCGUCUCUGCCGGUCGACAACGGAGAAAACGGCCGCAACCGAGGAGGACGGCCAUGGAGGGGAGGGUGCUUGCCUCGAUCCGGAUGAGGGGAGCAGCAGCUGCGACCUCGAUGCGGAUGAGGAGAGCAGCAACCGCGCCCCUGUUCUUCGAGGCGCGGCGGCCGGCGGCCUCGGCUAGGAGCUUUGCCCUCUUAUUCCCGCGCGGUGCAGCGGCGACCUGAGGACGAGUUCGAGACAUAGUGGUGGUUCCAGCACACGACGCCGGGGGAGGCGGCGGUGCUUCCUUGCCUUGUCUAUUCUCCUUAUCUGAGGUCCGUCCGACGGCAGAUGCACACCCGACAUCGUCAUGGAGGCUCCGACCCCGAGGCACCCUCUCUGCUUCCUUCUGGUUGCAUCUCCCCCUGAUUCUAUUUUAUCCAUGCCUACAUGGUGCACAACAGAACUCCUAACAGGCUUGCAAUCUCACGCGUAAGGGAAGAUGUGUUCCUCUCUGGCUAGCACCUGCUCGAUCAAAUGCCUAGCCAUUUCAAUCGUUUAUUGUAGGAAAUAUAAGGUGCACCCAAAUAGGAGGCCAUUCUGUGCAGCCUAUUCUUUUUGGUUCUAGGAAUCCUAUGGUAGAGGGUGGUGUUAGUUCUAUAAAUAACUUUCAGACAUUUGUAGUUUUUCAGGUUGUAGCGUGACAACUUUGAUCAAAAUUUGUUUCAGUUGACUCUACAUUCCAUUCGUUGAUUUUGUGUUCUUAACUGAAAGCAGAGUUUGUUGAUCUAUGUGACUUGGAUUAGUAUUCUUCUCUUUGCUAUGCUAAUAUUCACCUUGCUUCAGUUGACCCCACUUUCCGUUCGUUGAUUUUGUGUUCUUAACUGAAAGCAGAGUUUGUUGGUGUAAGUGACUUGGAUCAGUAUUCUUCUUUUUGCAUAUGCUAAUAUUCACCUCUAACAGCUGCUAAAGUAUCAUGGCAUUAUACCAAACUCUGCUCUGCCCAAAUUUUCCAGGCCUGAAGAGAGGAAGAGUAGGCCGGCGGCAAGGAUCCAGUGACGACUGCCUCCGUAGCGCAGAUACUUUGGAUCUAUGUGCUUUGGCCAAAUUGGUCAGGCCUGAGACUGAUUAGAAGACCUUUUCUGAUAUCCUUGAAUUAGCCGUGGAAGGCAGAGGAAGUAGAGAUAAAAAUGUAUCACGCUUUUCUCUUCUUUUAAGCAUUUCAUCUGUUUGAUUCAUUUUAACAGUACAAGGAUUUCCUUUAUUCAUACGUGAUUUUGAAGUGACUCUCACUCAUGUGAGGUUUAGCAUUAGGGAUAUUUCCAUAUGUUUACUUUGAGCUCAUUUUAUCAUCUUUUUUGUUAGCGACUUCCUGUUCUUCAUUCAUGUUAGACAGCGGUCCAUGUACUGACCAAGAACAAAAAACUGCUUAUGAAUGGUUUGAGUGGAGGUAGAAACAAAUUGUGGUAUUUUGGCUAAUUGGUUGGAUGACUACUUUAACUUUUUACCUUGCACAAAAUAAUCGAUUCCUGGUUUCCCUUUAUGUUUCUUUCUCGCAAAUGCCAUUGGAAGCUCUCUGUGAUUUCUAAUGCUGGCCAUUUUGUUGGUUCAUUGUGGCACAAUUCGAAGCAGCCGCAUAUAAAUGUGUAAGUGGCAUCAUGAUUUGGGACACUACAGCGACAUUUUGCUCAUAUCAUAGUGCAUACAACCUUUUUCACAUGUGUUAUCUUAUUGUACCAUGGAUAUGCACUGCUUAUGUAUAUUCAUUUGUUGUAUGCUUUACAGGACAGAUGGGCCUGGAAGAUACACCAGAAACAGAAGAAAAAGUUCUCAAAAUUGCGGAAGAGCGAUAUAGAGGCCGGUGAUCAACUCUAAGCUCCACUUACAAGGCAUACAAAACAGAUGCAGCUAGAUUGGCUAAUCUGUCGGAAGAUUUACAACCGGAAGAGUGAAUGGAUGAUUGAGUACUUUGGCACUCAUUCAAAAUUUCAGGAACACAACUGAAAGAACACCGAUAACCGUAAGAAACAGAAGACAAAACACAAAAUUAGAUCAAAAUCUUACUCGCAACUAAGUUUUGAGAAGGUAUGAAUCUAACUAAAUAUGUAUGCCUCGCUGCUAACUCUCACCUAGGCGAAGAAUGGAACAUGGUCUAACACAGAGUCCCAGGAUGUUUAAUGUCAAUAUUGAUGCGGCACCUAUAAUUGUUCUUUCCGUUUUUAGGACAAAACACGUCAAGAGGUUGAAAACAAAGAAACUGAAACUCAUGGUCCAUUUUCAAGAUCCAAAGAAUUAGCUCGACUGGACUCUAGAUCACACACAGUUUAGUCUUGGCACUUAAUUGGGAUGGCUAAAUUACAUUUGAGUUUCAUUUGAUGGAUAUUUACUAUGAGAAUUAUGAAUUUUAUUAAUCUACAUAUUAUACGUAUGGUUUUGAAUA